UACAGAGGGUGCGAGCGUUGUCCGGAAUCACUGGGCGUAAAGGGCGCGUAGGUGGUGGCUUAAGCGUGCGGUGAAAGCUCGGGGCUCAACCCCGAGUCGGCCGUGCGAACUGGGCUCACUGGAGCAUAGUAGAGGCAGGUGGAAUUCCGGGUGUAGCGGUGGAAUGCGUAGAGAUCCGGAAGAACACCGGUGGCGAAGGCGGCCUGCUGGGCUAUGGCUGACACUGAGGCGCGGACAGCGUGGGGAGCAAACAGG
rnacentral:rRNA from 1 species